AUUGCCUCCAGAGGUAUUACAGAUGUGGUUUCUGUGUCUCCUGUGGGUCAAUAGCUGACAGAGAGGAGAGAGGCCAGGUAUUGUUCACUGUUCUGACCUAAGAACAUCUGAAUGAUUAAUAGUCAAAUAGU
ensembl:snoRNA Gm23674 predicted gene, 23674